rnacentral:sRNA from 1 species
UAAUUGAAUAAUUUAACGAUUUCCCCUUCCUAUUUGAUAUUGAUUAGCUCACCAAUCCAUAUGUAAUGGAACUCUAUUUGCUUUUCUGAUUGAUAUAUAAAAUAAUAGAAUUAGGAAAUCCUCUAUUUACUAUAUCACUGAAUAAUAACUUUUUUGUUGACAAAAGAAUAAAGAUCAUUUCUAUUCCAAGGUGGGGAGUUUUAUUUUCCCCAUCGACCUA